rnacentral:rRNA from 1 species
UGAGGAAUAUUGGUCAAUGGACGAGAGUCUGAACCAGCCAAGUAGCGUGAAGGAUGACUGCCCUAUGGGUUGUAAACUUCUUUUAUACGGGAAUAAAGUGGAGUAUGCAUACUCCUUUGUAUGUACCGUAUGAAUAAGGAUCGGCUAACUCCGUGCCAGCAGCCGCGGUAAUACGGAGGAUCCGAGCGUUAUCCGGAUUUAUUGGGUUUAAAGGGAGCGUAGGCGGGUGCUUAAGUCAGUUGUGAAAGUUUGCGGCUCAACCGUAAAAUUGCAGUUGAUACUGGGCGCCUUGAGUGCAGCAUAGGUAGGCGGAAUUCGUGGUGUAGCGGUGAAAUGCUUAGAUAUCACGAAGAACUCCGAUUGCGAAGGCAGCUUACUGGACUGUAACUGACGCUGAUGCUCGAAAGUGUGGGUAUCAAACAGGAUUAGAUACC